UACGUAGGGGGCAAGCGUUGUCCGGAAUCAUUGGGCGUAAAGCGCGUGUAGGCGGUCCGGUAAGUCGGCUGUGAAAGUCGGGGGUCAACCCUCGGAUGCCGGUGGAUACUGUCGGGCUUGAGUACGGAAGAGGCGAGUGGAAUUCCUGGUGUAGCGGUGAAAUGCGUAGAUAUCAGGAGGAACACCGUGUGGUGUGAGACAGCUUACUGGACCAUUUCUG
rnacentral:rRNA from 1 species